GACGUAGGGCGCGAGCGUUGUCCGGAUUUAUUGGGCGUAAAGAGCUCGUAGGCGGCUCGUCGCGUCGACCGUGAAAACCCGCGGCUUAACUGCGGGCUUGCAGUGGAUACGGGCAGACUAGAGUGCGGUAGGGGAGACUGGAAUUCCUGGUGUAGCGGUGGAAUGCGCAGAUAUCAGGAGGAACACCGAUGGCGAAGGCAGGUCUCUGGGCCGCAACUGACGCUGAGGAGCGAAAGCAUGGGGAGCGAACAGG
rnacentral:rRNA from 1 species